rnacentral:misc_RNA from 1 species
UCACACACACACACACACAUAAUACUAGUCAAAAGCAAAAGAAGACAUGAACACGCAGGACGAACGAUUUGUGGGCCGUGUGCUGGAGAAAAACUACGAAUCCGUGUUCCAGGUCCGCACGAUGGGAUCGCUACUGGCGGGGAUUGCAGCUGGGGUUCUAGGACUCACGAACUUCCGGGGCCUCUUUUUCUUCAUAGCUUGUGCUGUCGUUACGUCCUUUGCCAUCAUGGCGUUCGGCUGCGGCGGAAACGCGCACAAGUGCUUCCCGAAAGGCACAUCAGAGCUAUUCUCUGUACAGCAAUUGCUGUCAGGCGCCAUGACCUACAUCCUUGUGUGGACGGUGGCGUACGACGCCAUCUACAUUUUUUAGCGUCACUCGGGCAGCCGCAAGGAGUGCGCGGAUACCUCUACCUUUUUCUCAUGUUUGUGUGGGGCUGCAUUAUAAUGAUCUGAAACUUGGCGUACAUCAACUGAAAGCAAGGUGGGCCCAGUGGGCGUGGAAGACCACGGUGCCAUGCUGAGCAGUCGCGUCGGUAAUGAGGGUCAAGCGAGCUUGUGGGGAAAAAAAUGACGGAGCGCUGCUCCACAUGCGGUGACGAGGAGGAGAAUGCCCGCAAACAGCCCUGUGUCUCUGUUCCAGCUGAAGUGUUUUUCAACGUUGCACUCGUGUGCGUUUUACUACCUCUACGUCACCAGCGUUUUCCUCUCCAUGUUGGGCACGUCCUACGUUUUUCCAUGCUGCUUCUUGAGCGAAUGCUUCAUGCACGCACUCGAAAGAUAUACCAACGUGGCCACAAAGGACAUCAGUGCACGCAUGCCCAUCUCUUCAUCUUUUAUCCUCUCUGCUACACGUAAUACCAUAG